rnacentral:misc_RNA from 1 species
UGGCUUUUUGUCAACAACGGUCAUGGGCUUUGGUUGGCAACAACCGGCUUUAAAGUUGAACGCUCUGCGGGUGACUUAUGCCAAACCGAACAUAGUAAUCUCCAUUUCUUGUUCCGUUCAGCUAUGUCAGUUUCGCCUGAACAAUAAACCAAAUCAUAAGGUUUGACCUCAGAUCAGACAAGGAUACCCGCUGAACUUAA